GGGGUCUGACGUCAGCCAUGUGCGGGGAGGAGAUGGGAAGAGGGAGGGGGUUAAAUGCUAAUGAUAUUAAUGAACCUCCCAGCGGCUCCCAAAGAAAAUGCAGGCGCUCUUGGAGCUGAGGAGUUAAGAGUGUGAAUAUGGGACUCUGCGUGCGUGAUGGUGAGACGGUACUGCUCUGGAGUGCCAGGCAGAUUCAUGGAAGAAAUUGGGUGGCUGUGUUUUGAUUGUGCACGCCGGACAUGAGCUUGUGAGUUAGUUCAUUCUUGGUCCCGUGCUCCUUCUGUUGGGUAAAACUUGGAUCUGAACCGAGGAGGAGACAAUAGCCGGCUGUACUCCGGCACCACAAGUGAAGAGCAAGGUUGACAUCUUUGUUAAGGUGGAGCGAGGGCAGGAGAGGGACAGCACGUGCACAAGCAGGAACUUGCUCCUCUGACCCACCUUCAGGGCUGGAGCACCAAGUCGCCGGCGCCAGGGCCCACCGGAUUUGGGGAGAGAGAAAGGGAGCGAAGGCUGUCCACGCUGUUGAGCAGAGCUCUGGAUUUACGGCUUGCAGUCGGGCGCCAAGCUGCCCCAUUUCACAGAUGCGUAAAACGGAGGUCGGGUCCGCGGCGCGCCUAGCUCACCAGGAGGCCCAAAGCUCCAACCAGGGCAGAACACUGGGUGGCAACCACCACGGAAGCCCUGCAGCAGCCCCUGCAGUCAACUGUCUCUCCUUUCCCGGUUGUGGGCACAGCACAUGAGGAACAGGACAUGUGUCUACCCUGAGCCUGUACCACGGCUGCACUUUGGGAGCACACCAUUUGAUGGCACAGGUUUACAACUGGAGAGGAAUUUGCCUCAGGGUGAAUUGUAUUUUGAGUUUCAUCUGCAACUGACUUAGAUGAUAAGGCAAAAUGUGCUCCUUGAGGUUCAGGUGAUGACUGACAGGUGCAGACCUCUGCAUGGAGGUGAGGAGGAACUUCCAGGAGGACAGAGAGAGCCUGGUCAGAGCUGGCAUGAGGCCUCUGCAGUACCUGUGUGGGAAGAUCCGAGGCUGAAGGGAAAGCCAGGGCUGAGGGGACAGAAGUGGGGGCAGCUGGUGCCAUGACCCAUCAGUGUCCCAUGGACUAUCCCAAGGCAACUGACUUCUCCUUACUAUCUCCUAUCUGAUCUCAAGUCCUAAAUUGUGGAGAACCAGGCCCUCAGAGAGGCUGCUGUGGCCGGUAAAACAGGGGCUAGGCUGGCUGCUUUCAAAGAGGAGGGCGGCGGGGAUAUGAAGAGCUAAAGAAGCUUUUGGACUGUCCCAGAGACAGAACAAGCCCCUCACACAGGUUUUUUCUUUAGUGACCCCAUUCCGCCCCAUGGAUGUCACUUUUUUUUUUUCUUUUUUCUUUUCCUUGUUCCUUUUCUUUUUCGGCGCUUUCUGGGAGGGGGAGCAAAGCGAGGGAGGUGGGAAGAGACUUUUUUUCACAUGAGUCCUCAGAAUUACAGUUCACAAACUAUUCAGUAAACUGACCGGCCUCAACCUCCCCUUCAACGGCCUAAUCUAAGGGGUGGAUCUAUGUGUUUUGUUGCUUGUCAGAAACAAUCGCGGCGCGGCCCAUUACAUUUACAGCACGUCGCCCUUUAAUUGGUGUAACACGCUGAGGCCUGAAAGGAGGAGAGGCCCACAAAGGCGCCGUGAAUGAGCCUUGACUCACACAAAAACACUCUGCAGAAGUUCAGAGCCGGCCACUAACAAGGAGGUAGGGAGUUAGUUUGAAAAGGGGGUGAAGUUCAGAAAUGUGUCACCUUGAGGAGCGUCCCAUCAAAGCAAUGGUCGCAUUGACAAGCUGCAAAGAAAAAAAGUUAAACCUUCAGCGACAUGGACUUGCCUGCAGAUGUAUUCUUCCACUUGAGGAGGGGCAAGGAGAGAGCCGUCUUUCUUUCUCUUCUCCUUUGCCCGCCCUGUGCUCUCUGCUCCCCUUAUUUACUUCAGAGAGCCUUCAAAAAGUCGGAGCCCAAAAGAUUUACCUUCUACUCUCCUGCUAAAAUACACUAUUUAAGAACAAACAUAUUUAAAAACCAGGCAGAACGAGGCUGGUUUAGGCUGCCGCGGCUGAUUUCUGCCUCUGUGGGAACCGAGAUUAUCCUGCCCUCCUGUCUCCCACCUCCCCCACGUUCCAGGGCCGUUCCCUGCUCCUGGGCUGCGUGUUGCGACCUAGGCCCGUGCACAGGAGACCCUGAAGAAGCUGCACCCGAGCGCAAUGAAGACGAGGGUAAGCGCGCCAUGUGGACGCCUUUGCAUCAGGUGAGUCCUAAGUGCGCACGUCCCACGCCUCACCAGGGGGAGUCCCUGUUUCCGUCCUCUGGCUGAGUGCCUGCAGGAAAGGCCCCGCCCUGGCAGAGCGGGGGUUUCCGCGCUUCAGUUACAGAAUUGGGCAUCCCUAAAAGAAAAAAUGAGCGUGCAAGGGCCACGAUUGAAGGUGGGGGAGUAGUUGGCACUUUCCAUUCCCCUUUCCUCCAGGGGGGUGGGCUCGCCCCGUCACCUCUCACCCCCUUCUCGUUUAGGAUGCCAGGAAUUCGCCCACUCUCGGUGGAGGCCACAAGGCCGGCCUCGCUAGGCCCCCUCUCUGCUGCCCAACCCUCGCCUGCCUUCCUUCGAGGGGGCUACCGAGUCUCCCGCGCCAGGGUGGACACCUCCACUCCCCCUUGCCCCCGGG
rnacentral:lncRNA from 1 species